UACGGGGGGUGCGAGCGUUGUCCGGAAUCACUGGGCGUAAAGGGCGCGUAGGUGGUUUGAUAAGGGUGUGGUGAAAGUCCGGGGCUCAACCCCCGGAUCUGCCGUGCCGACUGUCAAACUCGAGGACUGUAGAGGCAGACGGAAUUCCCGGUGUAGCGGUGAAAUGCGCAGAUAUCGGGAGGAACACCGGUGGCGAAGGCGGUUCUCUGGGCCUUACCUGGACGCUGAG
rnacentral:rRNA from 1 species